rnacentral:tRNA from 1 species
CAGUAAGUAGUUUAUUUAAAAUAUUAAUUUUGGGGAUUAAAGUUAAGAUCUUCUUCUUACUGA